AAAUGGUCUUGGUACUGAACCUGACUGAUAAUGUAUUUGGUGUAUCUUUUCUGUAGAAUUAGUACCAGAGUUCUAUUUGUAUUAUUAAUUGUGUAGAGCUGAUAAUUAGACCAUAGAGUCGCUGUUGAUUUGGUUUAUUCCUUGGCAGAUCAUUUAAGUACUUUAUCUUAUUACAAAAACUGAACGAAAAUAUAGCAGCAAUACAUUUCAUGACAUAGUGUUAUCCGUGCAAGAAAAUUGCUUGAUUGAUUAUUAAUAAAUGUAAGCAAUCUAUCAUGUAGGUUUUGUUCGAUCCUACACUUAAAGAAAAUCAUACUGAAGAUCUGAGCUUAAGUGUUCCAACAGCUGAAGCACCAGCUCAAGAUGAAGGGAAUCUCUUAAUAUGAUUGUAGAUCCAUUCCCGUAAAGUGCAGUUAGAAUAUGGAAUCCACCUCGAACUCGGUUUAAAAACAGAAAGCAUAUGGAAUUUUGCUCUAUCAGGUAGCAAUUUGGUUGUUCAAUCCAUCCAUAGUUACAUUUGAAGAUAUAUUGUUGAAUUUCCUUAUUUUGUGAAUACAAGUCUGAACUUUUAGGACAUCUGGCACAUGAGUUUGAACCAUCCAAUUAUAGUGCUACUAAUUUUGGGUCACUACAUCAUGCAAUACUACGGAUGCUGUUCAACAUGGCAAAGUUGGAUUUUUUUAUUCUUUUUUCAGAUUAGAAUCACUUUAGCAAUGCCAUAUAGAUAAUACAAGAUGUGGCAAAGUGUUGCAUUCAAUAGAGAUUACAGUGAUAAAUUGGUGAAAUUAGUUUGCUCUCUGAUCUCUGUUAGCUUUAACUCGCUAGGAAGCCAUGUAGUCCUAUUUUUAGUACUAGGAGGAGAACGUAUAUUAAAUAUAUGCCAUCCAGGGAAUUGAUCUCUGUUGUGCUGGGGCAAACUAAACCAGAGCAAGCACUUACUCAAGGCAAGGAGCAGUGCUCAUACUUGCUCAUGGUUGAGGUAGAUUCAGGUUAAAUUUUAUGUGUUGAUUCCCUUCUCUUUCACAUGUCUAGGUCUUUGUGCCUGAUCAAGCUGUUCUUUGACAAGUAUUAUCUUUGAGUGAUGCCAUGUUGGUAAUAAAAUACUAUAUAACUCACAUUUCUUAUAUGUUCCUUUUUCAUUUUUGUCCUUUCAUUUGAAAGCUCAUAUGGUCAAUUUUGGAGGCGACUACAUGUAUAUACUGCUGAUGUUACAUGUAAACAAAUUCGAUGCUUUCAUGCAUAUGACCGUGCACAUCACCGAACCCUUUCCAUUCUAUUGCAAGGUCAAAUAGUUUUUCGUGUUCUAACUCUUUGGGAUAGUCUGCUGUUAUUUGGUUCAUCGUCGCGCCUCAAGUUUCCAACAGCGCCGUGGCUAUACACCGUCGACUUCGCCGGAAAUCCUUCUGCACAUACUCUACUGUCCGCCGAAACUUUGUCUGACCUGAGUUAUUUGGCUCAUCUUCACGCCUCAAGUUUCCGACAGCGCCGUGGCUGUACACCGCCGACUUCGCCGGAAAUCUGUCUGCACAUACUCUACUAUCCGCCGAAACUUCGUCUGACCUGAGCUGAUGGGGAUGAGAUGUGACCCCGCUGCUGGGCGUCGCAAAUGCCACUGCUCCAAUGUGUGCCCCAGCUUCGGUGAUGUACGGGCGAGGCAACACAAUUUGGAGCAGUGACCCUCCUUCCAAGAAAUCAAGUUUUUUCGUUCAGAUUUUAGAGCUCGAGUUUCAGCUUAGUUCAAGGAUAGAAAAGCAUAGUCCUUAUGGAUUCAACAAGGAAGACCAUUAGCCGCCACCUUUUCAGAAUUGGAUGGUGUGGUGCACCUUCAUCCUGCUGUCCAAUUCCUUAGCUUAUUUGCUUUAACUGUACUACAGUUAUAUAGCAGGAUAAGGAUCCAAUCUUGUGAUGCCUCUCCAUUUGCACCAUCGUCAAAAGUUGCACAUGAGUUGAUUCAGACUUUCAGAAUUCAUAGAACACCUAGAGUUAAUCGGCCUGAAGGUAUAUCAUAUCCUAAGGGAAGGGGACCCGGUUCAGAUUUGUCACUACUAUGUGCUGUUGGAUAGCCAUGGUAUGUAUUAGUUUUGUUUUACCACAGUUUGAUUCUUGGGAGUUGGGAUAUCAGGUGUAUACAUUACUUUUCUUAUGAAUUUGUUCUCUUUUAGUGCACUAUCUAUCUAUCUAAUCUAUCUAUCGAACUUUGCAAAGAAAUAGAUGGCGACGGCUCAGCGGCGUCGUGGUGAAUGGCGAAGCUUCUCAAAUGGACGGAAGAGAGGUGGUGACGCGCGGCUGGGAGACGUACAUAUUUAACGAAAUACGAUUCAUAAGGUUUCAUAUUAACAAAAAAUGAUGGUCUUUGUAGAGUAAUAUGAACAUUUUGUUGAUUCCAGGACAACUUUAUUCUCCAAUACGAAUCUGUAAGAAAAGAUAUGACAUACAUUUGUGCAAAUUGAUAAUGUAAGCUCAUCUCGAAACUUUAUUCUUU